rnacentral:rRNA from 1 species
AUGGCGGAGGAGGGGAAGGUGAUCGCGAUCCACAGCCAGGAGCAGUGGAGCACCAAGAUCGAGGAGGCUGGCAGCAGCACGAAUCUGGUGGUGAUCGACUUCACUGCAACAUGGUGCGGACCAUGCCGCUUCAUUUCUCCAAUCUUAGAUGAGAUUGCCAAGAAGCUUCCAAAUGUUAUGUUCCUGAAGGUGGAUGUUGAUGAAAUGAAGUCAAUUGCCGAGGAGUUCAGUGUUGAGGCUAUGCCGACGUUUGUGCUCAUGAAGGAAGGAAAGGUGGUGGACAAGGUUGUGGGAGCUGCCAAGGAGGAGCUGAGCGGGAAGAUUGCCAAGCACAGUGCAACUGCAUGCGCUAAAUAA